rnacentral:rRNA from 1 species
CCUACGGGAGGCUGCAGUCGGGAAUAUUGCGCAAUGGAGGAAACUCUGACGCAGUGACGCCGCGUGCAGGAAGAAGGUUUUCGGAUUGUAAACUUCUUUAGACAGGGAAGAAACAAGACUGUACCUGUAACAUACGCUCCGGCUAACUACGUGCCAGCAGCCGCGGUAAUGCGUAAGGAGCAAGCGUUAUCCGUAUUUACUGGGUGUAAAGGGAGCGUGGACGGAAUUGCAAGUCUGAUGUUAAAAUCCGGGGCCCAACCCCGGAACUGCAUUGGAAACUGUAUUUCUAGAGUGUCGGAGAGGCAAGUGGAAUUCCUGGUGUAGCGGUGAAAUGCGUAGAUAUCAGGAGGAACACCAGUGGCGAAGGCGGCUUGCUGGACGAUGACUGACGUUGAGGCUCGAAAGCGUGGGGAGCAAACAGGAUUAGAUACCCUUGUAGUC